UCUCAUGGAUGAGCAAAGAAAGUGGUUUCUUGAGCUGGAAUCUACACCUGGUGAAGAUGCUGUAAA
rnacentral:pre_miRNA from 4 species